rnacentral:rRNA from 1 species
AAUUUUGAAGGGCCGCAGUAUUCUGACUGUGCAAAGGUAGCAUAAUCAUUUGCCUUUUAAUUAAAGGCUUGUAUGAAUGGUUGAACGAAAUACAAACUGUCUCACUCUAAAAAGUUUAAAAAUUUAGCUUUCAAGUCAAAAGGCUUGAAUAAUAUUAGAGGACGAGAAGACCCUAUAGAACUUUAUAAUAUUUUUUGUGAAUUUACAUAGUAAAAUAUUUUUUAUUUAUAAAUAUUAUUAUUUUGUUGGGGUGACAGGAAAAUAAGCAAAACUUUUUUGAAUUUUGAACAUUGAUUUAUGAAUAUUUGAUCCAUUAUUAGUGAUUAUUAGAAUAAGUUACCUUAGGGAUAACAGCGUAAUUUUGUUGGAGAGUUCAAAUCGAUAACAAAGUUUGCGACCUCGAUGUUGAAUUAAAGAAAUUUUAGAG